GUGCUUGCUUUGCAAGCACACUGACUAAAAUUGGAACAAUAUGAGAAGAUUAGCAUGGCCCCAACACAAGAAUAACAUUCAAAUUUGUGAAGUGUUCUCUAUUUUU
ensembl:snRNA U6 U6 spliceosomal RNA